rnacentral:rRNA from 1 species
CCUGAUCCAGCCAUGCCGCGUGAGUGAAGAAGGCCUUCGGGUUGUAAAGCUCUUUCAGAUGCGAAGAUGAUGACGGUAACAUCAGAAGAAGCCCCGGCUAAUUUCGUGCCAGCAGCCGCGGUAAUACGAAAGGGGCUAGCGUUGUUCGGAUUUACUGGGCGUAAAGGGCACGCAGGCGGUCUUGCCAGUCAGGGGUGAAAGCCCGAGGCUCAACCUCGGAACUGCCUCUGAUACUGUAAGACUUGAGACUAGGAGAGGGUGGUGGAAUUCCCAGUGUAGAGGUGAAAUUCGUAGAUAUUGGGAGGAACACCAGAGGCGAAGGCGGCCACCUGGACUAGAUCUGACGCUCAGGUGCGAAAGCGUGGGGAGCAAACAGGAUUAGAUACCCUGGUAGUCCACGCCGUAAACGAUGAGUGCUAGUUGUCGGGACUUCGGUUUCGGUGACGCAGCUAACGCAUUAAGCACUCCGCCUGG